GAUGAACGCUGGCUACAGGCUUAACACAUGCAAGUCGAGGGGAAACGGCAUUGAGUGCUUGCACUGAAUGGACGUCGACCGGCGCACGGGUGAGUAACGCGUAUCCAACCUUCCCGUUACUGCGGGAUAACCUGCCGAAAGGCAGACUAAUACCGCAUGUUCUUCGAUGACUGCAUCAGAUUCGAAGCAAAGAUCCGUCGGUAACGGAGGGGGAGGCGGCUGAUUAGCUAGUUGGCGGGGCGACGGCUCACCAAGGCGACGAUCAGGAGGGGUUCUGAGGGGAAGGGCCCCCACAUUGGAACUGGGACACGGGCCAAAGUCCUACGGGAGGCAGCAGUGAGGAAUAUUGGUGAGUGGGCGGAAGCCUGAACCAGCCAAGUAGCGUGCAGGAUGACGGCCCUACGGGUUGUAAACUGCUUUUAGGAGGGGAUAAAGUGAGGGACGCGUCCCUUUUUGAAGGUACCGGAUGAAUAAGGACCGGCUAAUUCCGUG
rnacentral:rRNA from 1 species